UGCGCAGUAUAUUUAUUUUGCUACUGUCUGGUGUGUGUUCGUAAAUCUUGGAGUUGAGUUUAAUCGGUUACAUCAAGAGGAGCCUAAUUGACGCGAUUGAGAACAGGACAACUCUGCUUACAGUCUAACUUGAGUAAUGAAACUGGAAGACAAUGAAGGACAUGGUGAAGCCAGAACAUACAGCAGGAAAAGAACAGCAUCAUCAUCCAAGAGGGAUGGGUGCCCUACAGAAAGGCGUGUCCUGAACUUGGCUCGGCUUUACCACUGGUCCUGGGAUAGAAAUGCUCAGGAAGAGGAGUAAGAAUGGGGGAAAAGAGGAAGAAAGAGGACACUGAGAGGAAGCACAAGGCGAAGCACUCCAGUUCUUAACACCCUUGUAAACCUCUGCAGGAGCCAGAAAUCACAAGGUGAGCAUGGACAGAUCAGUCUCCUCAGAUACAUUUACGUACAGGGUUUAUGUGAAAGCACCCUUAAUUACAAUCUCCAAUUUACAUGUCUUCAUUCACAAUGAAGGGUGUAGUAUAAUUUUACAAUGUGCUCUGUUUCAUUAUGUAAGUCAGUGGUCACCUUUUAUAAAUUACCACAGUUAGGCAAUGCUUCCAGUUUAGCAAUCAUCUGAUUUAUCUUGUGGGUUCAUUUGUGAGCAUGUGACUUAUUCUUUCCUUUAUCAAUUCGGGGAAUUUAAAAUCUGUCUUGGGGAGUGGCCAUGCAGAUGUGGAGACCAACGGUGUAGACAUGGAUGCAUCACCACCUUCUGGAAGGAGUAUGUUUUUCUUCUAUUGCUGAAAUUAUUCACACCAAAAGUAAAGUCUGACUUCAAUGUAAACAGAGAGUAAGAUGCAGUAUGUUGGUGAUGAGGUUUUCUUUAUUUGCAAUGACAUUGACUUAAACAACAAUAUAUCUGCCAAGGAAAAGAAAUCAGAUGGGGGAAAAGUGAUACAGGAAAUGUUUUUGCUUGAACAUUUUGUGAUUGGCGAUGUGUUGCUUCCCUUAUGUCAUUUCUCACCCAUUGUUAUGUCAAUGUAGCGCAAAUCUAAGAAUAGCAAAAAGGGAUACCACGGGAUGGACAAGGAUACUUUUUUUUAGCAAAAAUAAGUUUGUAAACUAACAGGUGAACAACAUUAAUUGUCAAGUUCCACAGUAAAAAUUCUUCAUACUCUGUGUAUGGUUGUUGCUAUUCUCUAGUGCAGUGGUUCCCAAACUGUGGGGCGCGCCCCCAGAGGGUGCACAUUUUUUUAAGGAUCUCAGUUCGGCUUUCAAACUCACUCUUGAAAGUUGUAAUAGUAGAAUGCACAAAGAGCAAUUUCGUAAUUGGUUAGUGCAUCAUCAGUUUUUCUCUUAUCAUGUCAGUCAUUGCAUAACUUAGAGCUAUUUUUUGCUUGUCAGAAAUGUCCAGAUCCACUAGUCUAUGUCAGCUAAAGCUUUUUAGCCCAUAGAUUUUGUUGUAAUGUUUGAAUAAUUUAAAUCACUUGAAUACGCAUUAGACAUGGCAAAAUUAAUAGUAGUGCAGGAAAUAUGUUUUAAACCUGCAAGAAUGUCUCUCUACCAACAAGAGGGGUGUGAACAGCUUGUGUCAUGAACAGUGCUUGUGCCCAUAGGUAUAGACAUGGAACUAUUUUUGAAAACAUCUGUUGCUGUCCACUAAAUACACUGAACAAAAAUAUAAAUGCAACAUGUAAAGUUUUGGUCCCAUGUUUCAUGAGCUGAAAUAAAAGAUCCCAGAAAUUUUACAUAUGCACAAAAAGCAUAUUUAUCUCAAAUUUUGUGCACAAUUGUUUUACAUUCCUUUUAGAUUAAUCAUUUGCCAAGGUAAUCCAUCCACUUGACAGGUGUGGUUAAUCAAGAGGCUGAUUAAACAGCACGAUUAUUACAUAGGUGCACCUUGUGCUGGGGACAAAGGGCCACUCUAAAAUGUGCUGUUUUAUUACACAACACAAUGCCACAGAUGUCUCAAGUUUUAAAGGAGUGUGCAAUUUACAUGCUGACUGCAGGAAUGUCCACCAGAGCUGUUUACAGAUAAUUAAAUGUUCUUAAACAAAGCUGAAAAUGUUCCUGUUCUUUUAUGGCCUUUAUACUCACCAGACAUGUCACCCAUUGAGCAUAUUUGGGAUGCUCUGGAUCGAUGUGUGUGACAGCGUGUUCCAGUUCCUGCCAAUAUCCAGCAACUUCGUACAGCCAUUAAAGAGGAGUGGGACAACAUUCCUCAGGCCACAAUCAACAAUCAGAUCAACUCUAUGUGAAGGAGAUGUCGUCCUGCAUGAGGCAAAUGGUGGGCACACCAGAUACUGACUGGUUUUAUGAUCCACACCACCACCUUUUUUUUUAAAGGUAUCUGUGACCAACAGAUGCAUAUCUGUAUUCCCAGUCAUGUGAAAUCCAUAAAUUAGGGCCAAAUUUAUUUAUUUCAAUUGACUGAUUUACUCAUAUCAACUGGAGCUCAAUAAAAUCUUUGAAAUUGUU